rnacentral:lncRNA from 10 species
CUCUUGUUGUCUUCCUCCCUCAAGAGAUGUCUGCCCUAUUUUCCACUUGUUUGGAAACUAUCUCCCCUGUCUGGUGUCCUUGCAGCUGUGCAUCUGUCAGUCUGUGCUGGAACUACAGUACUGUUAUGUCAGUAACAUACAUCACAGUCGUACGUCUCCAGGCUUCUUAUCUUCCUUUGAACCUGACCUGGCUACUGUUUGGUGGAUUAUAGAGGAAAAGCUGUAAUGGGAAAGUAGGUUGGGUGAAGGGAUGAGAAAAAGGAAAGCAUCGUGGAGCACAUUAGCAGGCUUUCUCCAUGAAGAAGCAGGAUGAGUACCUUCUCACUGCCAAAGUAGUUGGAGGGACAUCAAACACCAGUGAUGGGAACACUGAACCUCACAUAAGGUAAAGCGAUUCAGGAAAGUUUUGGUAAGCUCUCAGGUCCUGAAUAUAGAUAUAUAAACUUAGGAAAUGGUUUUCUCUGCUGAGCGGUUUCCUCAGGAGAUUGGUUCCAGGACCUCCAUGGAUACCUAAAUCUGCAGAUGCUCAAGUUCCUAAUAUAAAAGGGCAUAGUAUAUUCAUAUCACCUAUGCACAUUUUCCCACAUACUUUAAAUCAUCUCUAGAUUACUUAUAAACCUAUUACAAUGUAAAUAUUAUACAAAUAGUUGUUAUACUGUAUUGUUUUUAAAUUUGUAUUAUUUUUAUUCUUGUUUUUUUUUUCAGAUAUUUUUUAUCCGUGAUUGGUUGACUCCACAAAUGUGGAACCCACAGAUAGGGAGGGCUGAAUGUAUUUGCAAUAUUGUCUCUGAUUUAUUAGAAAAUAAACUAACAUGUAUACAAGUUACUGAGCUAAACACAACCAGAUCCAGAAUCAUGUGGUAAUUGAAAUGCUUCACCUGAGCAGCUGGGCUUCAGUGCCUCUGUAACUGCACUGGAACAUAAAAGCUACUCCUAGAAACACACAACUCUCUCUCUUUUUGAGUUUCAAAUUUCUGAGAUAAGUGUCCCACUAUCUAGACUAAUAUGAGUCCGGUUAAAAGUAUUAAAGUAUCUUUGGGGUAUCUAUGGAGUGUUUUUCAGGGGAAAAGUCAUAUGAGCCAUGCAGGUACCUGCAGAAAGAACAUUCCAGGCAGAGAGAAGAGGAAAUGCCAAGGCUCUGAGAUGGAAACAUGUCUGAAAUGUUGGUGAAAUAGCCGGCAGACUAGUGAUCAGGAGAGAGAGUAGGAGGUGACUUCAGAGAUUAUCAGUGAGCCCAUUGUCUAGAGCCUUAUAGCCCACGUAAAGACUUUGGCUUGUAUUCUAGGUGAGAUGGGAAGCACUUGGAAAUUUUAGGCAGGAGAAUUAUGUGAUUUGACUUGACAUAUUUUAGAACAGUUAUGUUUCGAAUAGACUGAAAGAGGAAGAACACGGAAGCAUGAAGAUUAAUUAGAAAGCAAUAACAAUGAUCUAGGAAACAAAUAAUAAUGGUUUGGGUCAGGUGUAAGAAUGGAGGUAGGAGCUGGAUUCUGAAUAUAAGUACAGAACAAAUAGGUUACGCUGGCAAGUAAGAUUGAGAUAAAUCACUGCAGGGUGGGCAGAAAAGAGAGUUCACUAGACAGGAAGCUGGGAUUUCUGAGUUGGAGUUUUGGCCAAAAACACAUUUACAAUGCUACUGGAAGAAAGUCGCUGAAAAGUAUGAAAGUCACUGAAAAGUAUGAAGUCACUGAAAAGUAUGAUUUUUCACACCUACAAAAAUGGGGUUAAUUACCUUCAGGACCUCACAAGACAAAUGAUUAUGACAUCUGUGUAAAUGUUGGUUUGCUUGGAUUGAGUCACUGCUCUAUGUGACUUUGUGCAAGUGAAUUAUUAGCCUGAGCAACUGUGGAGGGAAGGAUGAAAUCAAAUCUGGAAUAUUUUGAGAACAAACAAAAAAUAAAAAUAUCACCGCUGUGAAGAAAUAAUUUAAGAAGCUUUAUUUUAAAAGGCAAAGGCCGAGCAAAGUCACUCACCUCUUUAAUCCCAGACAGGAGGAUUUCUUGAAGCCAGGAAUUUGAGACAAGCCUGGGCAUCAUAGUGAGACCUUAUCUCAACAAAAAAUAAAAAGUUAGCUAGGCAUGGUGAUGUGUGCCUGUAGUCCUAGCUACUCAGGAGUAUGAGGCAGGAGGAUCGCUUGAACCCAGGAUUUCAAGGCUGCAGUGAGCUAUGAUGGCACCACUGCACUCCAGCCUGGGUGACACAGUGAGACCCUGUCUCUACAACAAAAAUUAAAUAAAAUACUCUUUCUGAGCUCAGAAUAGCCAUAGAAGAAAGUUCAAAAAAAUUAUUUUAAUCAAAGCCUUAUGAUUCCUAGUAGUAAUAUGGAUUUUGUACUCUUUGAACCUAGAUUUAUGAAUUGUUAUCAAGGCACGGAUUGAGGAAUACAAACCAAAAAGAAAACAUAAAAUGACAAAAAAACCCCUUCAUUUGCAGUUUCAGUUUCAGUUAAACACAACAGUCUUCUUCUGUUUUCUCCUCUCUCUAAGCAGGUUUGCACUACUCUGGAAUUUUUCUGAAUUUUUACUAAGAAGAGAAAUACAUGACUGAGUUAUUCUAAGGGACUCAAAAGUUUACAACUUUCCCAAUCUGCUUAAAUAUGCAAAGCCCAAGCUACCUCUUUCUAAUUCACAAAUACAAAAAAGCACCCAUAGUUGAAAGUUUAGGAUAAGUAUGGAAGGGUUGGUGAGCAGCCAGCCAGGGUGAGAGGGCAGGAGACAUAGAGGAGAAAGCAAGGCUGUGGUGUUCCACAUGGAGCCA